rnacentral:rRNA from 1 species
CCUACGGGUGGCAGCAGUGAGGAAUAUUGGUCAAUGGACGAGAGUCUGAACCAGCCAAGUAGCGUGAAGGAUGACUGCCCUAUGGGUUGUAAACUUCUUUUAUAAAGGAAUAAAACGAGGCACGUGUGCCUUUUUGCAUGUACUUUAUGAAUAAGGAUCGGCUAACUCCGUGCCAGCAGCCGCGGUAAUACGGAGGAUCCGAUCGUUAUCCGGAUUUAUUGGGUUUAAAGGGAGCGUAGAUGGGUUGUUAAGUCAGUUGUGAAAGUUUGCGGCUCAACCGUAAAAUUGCAAUUGAUACUGGCAGUCGUGAGUACAGUUGAGGUAGGCGGAAUUCGUGGUGGAGCGGUGAAAUGCUUAGAUAUCACGAAGAACCCCGAUUGCGAAGGCAGCUUACUAAACUGUGACUGACAUUGAUGCUCGAAAGUGUGGGUAUCAAACAGGAUUAGAUACCCUAGUAGUC